CAGGUGCAGCUGAUCUGGUAAUCAGCAGAUCGAGUGCAGGUGGGAUUCAUCUAAUCAUCCCCUCCAGCUCCUCUAUAAAACCUGAGGCCACUGUGCAUCCUGUGCCAGACUGUGAAGCUACUUCCAGUUAGUUGUGUGACCAGUUCAGUCUGAGCCACCUUCUGGUUCCUACAGUAAUCUGGUUUAGAACUGACUCCUGCCUGCUGAUGAUGUUACCCGGAUCUCCUGGUUUCACUGCUUACCUGUUGUCUGGUUCUUCGCUCGGCUGUUCUCCUGGCUCCGGUUGGUUCUCCGUGGAUUCUCCGUGUUCUGGAAAGAAAGCAGCUGCUGCCAGCCUCGCUACUGCUAAGAGCUGCCACGCCACCCAGGAUGCCAUUAACACCACCCUCCACGCCAAACCGCCAGUCUAAUCCCCACGGACGCCAAAAUACCACCACAGGCUGUCAGAACAUCUGGGAAGUGACUCAUUCCACCUGACAAGACUGGCUGGAACCAGGCACCCUGUAUAGACACUCACCCCGUCUCCAUCCUGUCAUUAGUCCGCCAACCCACUAGAGGGUAUCCCGAUCCGUUCCGCCUCUGGCUGCUUUGGUUAACAUCUGGCUCCGUUUUUUUUCUAGUUCCAGUUUAUCGUUGUAGUUCUUUUUGUUCUAUGUUGUAAAUACAAGCAUUAUAGAAUCUUU